UAAAAUAAUAAUAGUUAUUUUGAUUUAAAAAUUAAUGAAAUUUGUGGAAGAAUAAAUUUUGUGAUGCUCGAAAUGUUCAAAACCCGAUGAAAUCUUGCAACUGCUUAAACAAGCCCAGAAUCGAUUCAUAAUGCGCGGUAAGCUGCUACAUUCUGACGGAACGUUCAAUUCUAAGCUCUUCUGUCAACAAUUAGCCAGCUUACAAAGAAAAGCGUUCAGAAUUGAUUAAUAGAAAACACAGAUCCUUUGAGGAAAGGUUUUAAUAAAUAUAUGUAAAAACGAGGCGGGAACUGGAAACAAAUCGGCAGAAUGCUAACCCGCGCUUCUCACCUUUCUUCGCUGCCUCAAAGUAUAUAUCGUUAUUCAUCUCCAUGGAUUCGAAGUAAAAUGCUCCACUGAAAGUGACCUUGAAAAUUGUACGUCAACUUGAAUUUUCAAAAUUCCAUUAAACUUAAAGCUAAUUAGUGGAAAAACGAAAAACGUAACAACAGGUGUACAACAAAUUUACAAACAACCAGUAUUGCUGUUUCUUAACACCAAUGUCCGAAGCAAGAAAUUUGUGACAAAAAAGAAAGUGUGCAACUAUUUAUAUAAAGACACAAAGAAGUAUUCCUGUCCAUACGUACAUAUAUGUACAUAUGUAGUAUUUAUGUAUGUGCGUCUAUCAGCGUCGGGCAUAUAUAUGCUACGGCAAGAGACCAGCCAAGCCAACUAAUUCACAUGACCUCAUAUUCAAAUCUACGAAACUUAGUGGCGACACUGACCGUUAGUAAAUAAAAAGCCUGUUGCAUGUGAAAAGAAA